rnacentral:rRNA from 1 species
AUUGAACGCUGGCGGCAGGCCUAACACAUGCAAGUCGAACGAGUGGCGGACGGGUGAGUAAUGUCUGGGAAACUGCCCGAUGGAGGGGUAUAACUACUGGAAACGGUAGCUAAUACCGCAUACCAUCGGAUGUGCCCAGAUGGGAUGAGCUAGUAGGUGGGGUAUUGGCUCACCUAGGCGACGAUCCCUAGCUGGUCUGAGAGGAUGACCAGCCACACUGGAACUGAGACAGUGCCCAGACUCCUACGGGAGGCAGCAGUGGGGAAUAUUGCACAAUGGGCGCAAGCCUGAUGCAGCCAUGCCGCGUGUGUGAAGAAGGCCUUCGGGUUGUAAAGCACUUUCAGUGGGGAGGCGUUACCUGCAGAAGAAGCACCGGCUAACUCCGUGCCAGCAGCCGCGGUAAUAC